GACGGUGGGAGCGAUGUGGUUUAAUUCGAAGCAACGCGAGAACUUACCAGGCCUUGACAUGCAGAGAACUUUCCAGAGAUGGAUUGGUGCCUUCGGGAACUCUGACACAGGUGCUGCAUGGCUGUCGUCAGCUCGUGUCGUGGGAUGUUGGGUUAAGUCCCGUAACGAGCGCAACCCUUGUCCUUAGUUACCAGCACGUUAUGGUGGGCACUCUAAGGAGACUGCCGGUGACAAACCGGAGGAAGGUGGGGAUGACGUCAAGUCAUCAUGGCCCUUACGGCCUGGGCUACACACGUGCUACAAUGGUCGGUACAAAGGGUUGCCAAGCCGCGAGGUGGAGCUAAUCCCAUAAAACCGAUCGUAGUCCGGAUCGCAGUCUGCAACUCGACUGCGUGAAGUCGGAAUCGCUAGUAAUCGUGAAUCAGAAUGUCACGGUGAAUACGUUCCCGGGCCUU
rnacentral:rRNA from 1 species